rnacentral:misc_RNA from 1 species
CGUGGAGACCUAGAUCAUCUGUUCCUCUUCGUCCUUCGGCAGCUCAGCCUCUGCAGCGUCUCCCACUAUCAUCGCGGGACAGGAACUCUUAGAGCCUAAGACACAUACAUGCGCGCGCGAGUCCACCGACCUGUCCCCGCCCAUCUCUUCUCUCAUAUCAUGGCAUAGAUUGACACCUGUGCACACAUACAUACGGAAGCAGAAGCAGCAUCAAGCCAGCGACGAAGAAGUGCGGUGGAGCGGCGUCUUGGACUGCCGCCACCACCGUGUAUCUCUUUACGCGUGCGGUCUCUCGAUAACGCGUCGGGUAGGGGGAGCUCCGUCACCGUCAUGGCGGCCGCCAUACCGGCGGACUCAGCGGGCAUCCCACCCGACUCCACAUCGAGCCCCUGCGCCCUCUUUCCCACCGAGUCAGAAGCGUAUUUCUGCCUCAGCUGCAACGCUCGGUGUAGUGGCCUCGCGCUAUUAGUGGGGCCGCACACGAGCCAUGACUACCUGCCUCUCUUUGAUGCGCUGCUGUACAUGCCAGCUGCCCUGCUGCGGGAGGCGCGAGAAGUCGUGCAAGAAGCGGAGGAGAGCUUCACCAAGCCUUGGCGAGUGCAGGAUCAGCAGCGCGAGGACACGCUUCUUCACUUGCUCAACCUGCGCCGCAGCAAGCUGGCCGCGGUGGCGCAGCUCAUAGCGGAGCUGCGACAAGUGGAUCGCCAGCUCCUGCACAUUACGGAGGCCAAGGCGCUGGACGUAGCGAACUGGCGUUAUCAACAGCGUGAGCUGCACCGCAAGAUCGAAAAGCUGCACCGCGGCGCCACAGCGCUAGCCUCGUGCUUCGCGUCAGCAUCGUCUUCUUCGACCGCUUCUGGGGCAACGGAUUUGGCUGCGGGGAAGUCGCAAGCGGCCGCUACAGCGUGCCCAUCCUUGUCACACACGCAGUGCGUGGCCCAGAAGGAGCUCGCCAAAGUACGUGAAACGCUGCAGAUACAACUCGCGCAGCUGGAAGAGGAGGAGCGUGCGUCUGCGCAGCGGCUGGAAACGUGGCAUCGACUACUAAGCGAGGUGCCGUGGGGUGGCAACGCAAGCGGCGACUUCAGCUGUACAGCAGAGACCACCGGGGGGGAGAAAGAUGGUACUCAGCAUGUCAGACCGUCGGCGGCAGCACCAAGCGCUGCUGCUGCAGGAAUGAUACAUACACCUGAGCAUGAUCCACCGCCUCAGCCUUGCAGCUACUACUCAGAGCUCUGGCGUGUCUCCGAGGCUGCGGCAGGCGUACCGCUACAGCAGGAGCAGCAGCAGACGCCGUCUCUUUCCGCAUCCCCAGGGACCAACACUGCCGUGGCGGACCGUGGUUCACCGCAUCCCUCCGACGCUGAGGUAGUGCUUCUGCAGCAUGCGCUGCACAACAUCAACGGUGCACUGCGGCAACGACUCCUGCACGCCGCGGCGGCGUCCCUAGCCUCUUCGUCCUCUUCCCAAUCACCCACAACAAGCCACCACACAUCCGGCCGAGAGGAAGCGGCGGCGACCAGCGUCACUAUUUCGGGCCUCCCACCGCUGCCAGUUGCGACGCCUCUGCGCAGCAUGCAGGAUUUUAUGAAAAGCCCCAGCGGUAACAGUGGCGCUGUUGCCCCUUGUGCCCAGCAGAGCGCGGCGCACCCGUCAGAGAGGCUCCCUGGCAGCGCCAACGUCGCUAAAGCAGCCUACGCCAGCCAGUCUGGGAAGGGGCAGCAACAGGAAACGUCCCCUCUGCCGAGAUGUACCGAAGCAACGGUACUUGUCGCCCCGGCGGAGGCAGUAGCCGCAGGAGUAGCGCUUGAUGCAGCGGAGGAGGCUCAGCGACGCGUGUGGUGGCAGUCUCUGCAAGCCCGAGAGCAGGCGAUGAAGGACUCCCUCAAUCAACUCCUCCAGAGUGCCACGACCACAUCCUCGCCGCCGUCAUCAAGAGAGCGUGGCAGCGUCGACAGCGCCGACGGCGCCGGCAGGCCGGCCGGCAGUGCCAUUUUCAGCAGCAUAUCAGCAUACCAGCGGAGUUUGGAGAGCCGGUAGAGGUGAAGUAGGUGCGCGGCACCCCAACGCCCGGAUCCCUCGUCAACCCCACCCCCUCUAUGUGUGAGCGUGUUCGUGCUCGCUGGGUGGUGGUGGUGGUGCUUCUUACCAGUUUUUCUCUUGGCUUCUGGAAUAGAGGAGUCCACUGCAUCUCCGUCUCAACAAGAUCUCCAGCUUGACGGCUCACCCUCCCCACACCCCUCCUCUCGGCCUUCAUGACGCCGCCGAAUGCCCCCCGCCCGCUGUACCAUGUUGCUCGUUGGAGGGAGAAAAGAAGGCUGGUCGAGGUGCCUGAACCCCUUUGUGCAGUGCCGCCAGCCAUGUCAUCUCAGUCCCUUUCACGGCCCCCUCCCUUCCCUUACCCUCCCCCUCUUAUCGUUCACCCGCCCCCC